CAUGUUCGCCGAAAGCCUAAGGUUUUCUGGGCAAUGUUAAUCAACUCAGAGUUAGUCGGCCCCUAAGGCGAGGCCGUAAGGCGUAGUCGAUGGGAAGCAGGUUCAUAUUCCUGCACCUCCUGGUGGAGGUUAUCGUGAUGGAGUGACGUAGAAAGAUAUGGGCGCAGGGCGUUGGUUGUCCCUGUUCUUAAGCGUAGGCGUGGGGUCCAGGAAAAUCCGGGCCCCUUUAGCUGAGGCGGUAGGGGAGUGAGCCCUCGGGCAAGCGAAGGUCCAGAAUCUAAGCUACCAAGAAAAACUUCUAAACGCGAAACCGGGAGACCGUACCACAAACCGACACAGGUGGGCGUGGAGAGAAUCCUAAGGCGCUCGUGAGAACCCUCGUUAAGGAACUCGGCAAAAUGGUCCCGUAACUUCGGAAGAAGGGACGCCUCAUUAGUGUGAAACCCCUGCGGGUUGAGCAUGAAGAGGCCGCAGAGAAACGGAUCAAGCGACUGUUUACCAAAAACACAGGACUCUGCUAAAUCGUAAGAUGAUGUAUAGGGUCUGACACCUGCCCGGUGCCGGAAGGUUAAGAGGAGGGGUUAGCCGCAAGGCGAAGCUCUGAAUUGAAGCCCCGGUAAACGGCGGCCGUAACUAUGACGGUCCUAAGGUAUCGAAAUUCCUUGUCGGGUAAGUUCCGACCUGCACGAAUGGUGUAACGAUUUGAUCACUGUCUCAACGAGGGGCUCGGCGAAAUUGUAAUGUUCGUGAAGAUGCGGACUACCUGCAGAAGGACGGAAAGACCCCGUGAACCUUUACUGUAGCCUGACACUGUAAUUUGGUGCAAUAUGUGUAGGAUAGGUGGGAGACUUUGAAGCCGGGACGCUAGUUUCGGUGGAGUCAACCUUGAAAUACCACCCUUAUUGUAUUGGGUUACUAACCGGCUCCCAUUAUCUGGGGCUGGAACACUGUCUGGUGGGCAGUUUGACUGGGGCGGUCGCCUCCUAAAUUGUAACGGAGGCGCUCAAAGGUUACCUCAGCACGGACGGAAAUCGUGCGUAGAGUGCAAACGCAUAAGGUAGCUUGACUGUGAGACCUACAAGUCGAGCAGGUACGAAAGUAGGAGUUAGUGAUCCGGUGGUCCCGUGUGGAAGGGCCAUCGCUCAACGGAUAAAAGGUACUCCGGGGAUAACAGGCUUAUAGCGCCCAAGAGUUCAUAUCGACGGCGCUGUUUGGCACCUCGAUGUCGGCUCUUCGCAUCCUGGGGCUGGAGAAGGUCCCAAGGGUUCGGCUGUUCGCCGAUUAAAGCGGAACGCGAGGGGUUCAGAACGUCGUGAGACAGUUCGGUCCCUAUCCUCUGCAGGCGUUGGAAAUUUGAGGAGAUCUGUCCCUAGUACGAGAGGACCGGGAUGGACGAACCUCUGGUGUACCAGCUGUCGUGCCAACGGCACCGCUGGGUAGCUAUGUUCGGAAUGGAUAACCGCUGAAAGCAUCUAAGCGGGAAGCCAACUCCAAGAUGAGAUUUCCCUUGGCCUUCGGGCCACUGAAGACUCCUUGAAGACUACAAGGUUGAUAGGCUGGAGGUGUAAGCGCAGUAAUGUGUUCAGCCGACCAGUACUAAUCAGUCGUGAGGCUU
rnacentral:rRNA from 1 species